rnacentral:lncRNA from 1 species
AAGGAAAGCCAGAAUACUUGUGUACUCCGAUAUCAAUCACGCAUAAACAUCGUUGCCAACUUUGAGAAGCCUAUCUGGCGUACUUAGACAACGCGAACNUCCACAGGACACAGCUAAAAAACAAGGGAAAUAGCAAAAAAACUUGUUUCGGUCUUUGAACGACUGCAGCUCAAAAAGAGAAAGAUAUCAAGAGUGUAGCGAUAUUCACACAAAGUGGUUGGUCG